rnacentral:rRNA from 1 species
GACGAAGGAUGCAAGCGUUAUCCGGAUUCAUUGGGUUUAAAGGGUGCGUAGGCGGAUUGGUAAGUCAGUGGUGAAAUCUCGCAGCUUAACUGCGAAACUGCCAUUGAUACUGCUAAUCUAGAGUACAGUUGCCGUUGGCGGAAUAUGACAUGUAGUGGUGAAAUACAUAGAUAUGUCAUAGAACACCGAUUGCGAAGGCAGCUAACGAAGCUGUAACUGACGCUGAGGCACGAAAGUGCGGGGAUCAAAACAGG